rnacentral:misc_RNA from 1 species
AUUGAGCUCACAAAAGGAAACAACAAGAUUGAUCUUUUGAGUGCAACUGUUGGACUGCAGAAUUAUGGUGCAUUUUUUGAUACUUGGGGUGCUGGAAUCACCGGUCCUGUGCAAUUGACAGGCCCAAAUAGCACAUUGGAUCUAUCUCAAAAUGAGUGGACAUACCAGGUUGGACUCAAAGGUGAAGAAUCAGGUUUGCCCACAAGUUCGGAUACUUCACAGUGGGUCUCGGAUUCAACCUUACCCAAAAAUCAACACUUGAUAUGGUACAAGACGAGCUUCGAUGCCCCUGCGGGCAGUGAUCCAG